AUGGCCACAUUCAAGGAGGCAGUGACGUUCAAGGACGUGGCUGUGGUCUUCACGGAGGAGGAGCUGGGGCUGCUGGACUCUGCCCAGAGGGAGCUGUACCGAGAUGUGAUGCUGGAGAACUUCAGGAACCUGCUGUCAGUGGGGCAUCAACCAUUUCACCGAGAUGCGUUUCACUUUCUAAGAGAAGAAAAGUUUUGGAUGAUGAGGACAUCAACCCGUAGAGAAGGGAAUUCAGGAGGCAAGAUCCAAACUGAGAUGGAGACUAUUCUAGAAGCAGGACCACAUGAAGAGUUGUCCUGCCAGCAAAUAUGGGAACAAAUUGCAGGUGACUUAACCAGGUCUCAAGAUUCCAUGAUAAACAACUCUCAGUUCUCCAAACAAGGUGAUUUCCCUUGCGAGGGUGAGACAGGACUGUCUGUAAUUGACAUCAAACAGAAACCUUUUCAGUGUAGUGAGUGUAAACAGUCUUUCAGUGAUGUCUCCAUCUUUGAGCUUCAUGAACAAUUACACUCAAGAGAGAAGUCCCACACAUGUGAUGAGUGUGGAAAGAGUUUCCGUUACAGAUCAGCUCUUCGUAUUCAUCAGAGAGUCCACACGGGAGAGAAACGCUAUAAGUGUGAUGUGUGUGGUAAGGGAUUCAGUUGGACCUCACAACUGAAAACUCAUCAGACAGUCCACACUGGAGAGAAACCAUUCAAAUGUGAGCAAUGUGGAAAAGCCUUCAGUCGUAGAUCAUCACUUACUCUUCACUGCAAAUUACACACUGGAGAGAAACCUUAUAACUGUAAGGAAUGUGGAAGGGCCUUUGUUUACAGUUCACAGCUUCGGGAACAUCAAAGAAUCCAUACUGGGGAAAGACCAUUCAAAUGUGAUAUAUGUGGUAAGAGCUUUCAUGAGAGAUCAGCACUUACUAGUCAUUGCAUGGUCCACACUGGAGAGAAACCAUACAAAUGUGAGCAGUGUGGAAAAGGCUUCAUUUGUAGACAGAAUCUUUUUAAACAUCAUAUGAUCCACACAGGAGAGAAACCAUAUAGUUGUGAAGAAUGUGGGAAGAGCUUCAGAUGGUCCUCAUGUCUUUUGAUCCAUGAACGAAUCCACAGUGGAGAAAAACCAUUCAAAUAAAAGCUAUACAAAUGUGAGGAGUGUGGGAAGGGCUAUUACAGUAAGUUUAAUCUUGACGUGCACCAGAGGGUCCACACGAGGGAGAGACCCUAUAAAUGUAAGCAGUGCGGUGAGAGCUUUUGCUGGGCAUCAAGUAUUCUGAGACAUAAGAGACUCCACUGUAGAGGAAAACCAUUCAAAUGUGAGGAUUGUGGGAAGAGCUUUGUACACAGUUUCUGCCCUAAAGACCAAGAAACAGACCGCAGUGUAGGAAAACUAUACAAAUGUAUGGACUGUAGGAAGCGCUACCAGAGGCGUUUGAAUCUCGAUAUGCUUUUGUCAUUAUUUUUAAGUGAUAUAUAA